GACGAACGCNGGCGGCGUGCCUAAUACAUGCAAGUAGAACGCUGAAGGAGGAGCUUGCUUCUCUGGAUGAGUUGCGAACGGGUGAGUAACGCGUAGGUAACCUGCCUGGUAGCGGGGGAUAACUAUUGGAAACGAUAGCUAAUACCGCAUAAUAGUAGAUGUUGCAUGACAUUUGCUUAAAAGGUGCAAUUGCAUCACUACCAGAUGGACCUGCGUUGUAUUAGCUAGUUGGUGGGGUAACGGCUCACCAAGGCGACGAUACAUAGCCGACCUGAGAGGGUGAUCGGCCACACUGGGACUGAGACACGGCCCAGACUCCUACGGGAGGCAGCAGUAGGGAAUCUUCGGCAAUGGACGGAAGUCUGACCGAGCAACGCCGCGUGAGUGAAGAAGGUUUUCGGAUCGUAAAGCUCUGUUGUAAGAGAAGAACGAGUGUGAGAGUGGAAAGUUCACACNGNGACGGUNUNUNCC
rnacentral:rRNA from 1 species